CAUAGCGUUGUCGAGAUUCUGAUAGCCCACGUCAUCUAAUCCCAUACUCUGAUUUGAGUUGGAAUCUAGGAGAGGUAAAUUGGACAACUCUUCAAUUUCUUGUCCUACCAUAAACGGGAGGUCCAACUGGCUAAUAUCUGUAGCCAUGUCAGAUAGUAAAUCAUCUGCUUGCUUCUGUUGUUCAGGAGUAGGCUGAUAGCUGCUUGCCAUAUGUGUAGCGAAAACUCACCGUCCAUCUGUCAGUUUAAGCAAAUUGCUUUUCCUGAUGUCUUCGGCAACAUCUUUUAGAUGAGCUCCACUCUGAAUUGCAUAUUGUUCCAAGUUAAGAUUGCUGAUCAACCGGUUGGCUGUUUCUGGUGGCACCAUAGCUUGAUUAACUUGAUGGUCUUCUGUUUCUGUUAACAACCAUAUCUGAUAUGGUUGGAAGAACUUUUCUCUUUCUCUCCAUCCAAUAGUACUUGCAAUGCUGAAUGUGAGAUAUUUGGAGAGUCUGUAGCUUUUUGCUACAUGAUACACCAUUGUUUUAAUGAAUUGAGGAAAAUCUUUUAUGGUAGCAUAAUCUAAAUUUUGGAAAAUAACCUGGUUAGUUAUUCCCCAUUCAAUAGCUGCAAGAUUCCAUUCAUCAUGGUUUAUGAUGAAACUCAGUUUAGGGAUUCCAUCAUCCUUAACAUUCAUAGAUUCUGAAUGUUCUAGAAACAUGUCUUGAAUUACUUGACCAUGAUUAUGGAUUUUAACAUAAAUAUCUGUAAAGAGAUGAUAUGGAAGAUGAUUUUUUGUUUCAAAAAGACAAAUUCUCUUAAUUUGUUCAAAAGUUGGAUCAGAUAUGUCCUCUAAUAGUUCUGAUAGCUGGAGAAAACUGGUUAUCUUCUCUAGCGUGAAAUCUUCACUCCAAUUUAUUUGCUUAAGAACUUGAAGACUUACAUGUUUAAAUUUGUAAGUUUUAACUUUCUCAGUAUCUAGCUGUGCUGCUAGAUUUGAGAUCUGAGUAGACAGCUGGGUUAGCUGUACUCGAAAUUCUUUCUUUAUUUCCUAGCAAUAUGGCUUUUCCUAUACUGCAUUUAUNNNNNNNNNNNNNNNNNNNNNNNNNNNNNNNNNNNNNNNNNNNNNNNNNNUUGUUCCUUCCUACACACACACACACAAAAACUUAUUCCUUCAAAAAAAUCUAAAUGACUGUUUUUUGGUGGGUCUGAUCACCACAUCCACUACAAGAAAAGUUUGGUUUUUGUACUCGACAUCGAUCACCUUCGGAAAAAUAAGCAACUGCGCUGUACAUGGCGACAACCACCUAAUAAAGAUGCUUUUGUUUGAAGAAUUCAAACGCAAUGAGCGACUACUACGUUCGAUCGAAGACACUAGUUUUUGGCUAUCAUUUUCUCACCAACCAAACGGAAAAGGAAAGAAAGAAAGCAAGUACAGUAACGGAAGCAAACGCUGGCCUGGGAAACUCACCGGAUCAUCAGUUACAGGCGAUGCAGUGUGGAAAACGCCAUCACAGCCGUUAAUGGCUUCUUUCAGGCUCUCGAAAUCCAGAAGAUCGGCUUUCCGCAAGCUCAGCCUCUCUUUGGCUCCUUCCAGCUCCCUCAGAUGAGCAUUCUUUGGGUCCUCUAUAUAUCCGUUCAAACCAAAAUAAGUAAAUAUAUACAGAAACAAAUAUAACAAUUCUACGUGCGCUAGCUUAAGGAAAGUUGACAACUGUUUAUGUUUACAGUGGGUAUAUAAUACACACAAUCGUAUUAGAAUCGGGAAAUUUGAUUCCAGUUUUGAUUCACAUCCCGACUGUGAUGCUAGAUUAGGUUAAAAUGAUGAGCUGAAUUAUGUAUGCACCUGGGUUUCUGACGGUUCCUCUCACAUUAUAGCCUCUAUCCAGCAGGAGCUUCACCAACCAAGAAGCGAUGAAGCCUCCGGCUCCGGUGACACACACAGUUUGGCCAUGGCCGGAAAGUGAAGAGCUGUGAUCAGCAGGCAUCUUUGCCUAAUUGGUGGUGUUUUGCCAAAGAGACAAUAUAGAUAGAGGGAGUUGAUUCAGUUGUAAGGAAAGAGGCACGAAUCAACAAUAGUGAAGGAGUCUGGUUUUUAUAAGCCUACCACUCACCUACCACUGGUGAAAAAAAUCUGAAGAGACAAUCUGUGUGGCUUUUAACCAUUGCGCUUGUCUAUUAUAGAAAAGGUAAAAUAUUGUAUAGUCUUUCUGGUUUAAAAUUGACAUUUGUUUAGUUCUUAUGGUUUUAUUUUAAUCUGAAUAGUCCUUAAAGUUACGAUUUUUCAUCCAAAUAGUCCUUCUGGUUUUAUUUUAAUCUGAAUAGUCCUUAAAGUCACAAUUUUUCAUCUAAAUAGUCAUUAUGGCCUUUAACUGAGCAAAUUGUCAGAAUGACUAUUUGGAUGAAAAAUCAUGACUUUAAGGACUAUUCAGAUUAAAAUAAAACCAUAAAGACUAUUUUGAUGAAAAAUCGUGACUUUAAGGAGUAUUCAGAUUAAAAUAAAACCAUAAGGACUAAACAAAUUUCAAUUCUUAUAGAAAUGUGUAAGUAUUAAUAUUGGUGAGGUGAUUAGUAAUAUGUGACAUGAGUUCCGAUAAAACAAAAAUAAUGUGACAUGAGUCACAUGACAAUGAGUCAAUGACCCUUUACCUUGCUUGAUUAAUUUAUAUUAUUAUUAUGACUGGUAUUUCAACUACUAUCGAGGUUUAAGAUUGUUAGUUCGUAGCCCAGUACCGUUUGGUGUAGUGGCAUAAUUCUCUCUUUAUCAAUAAGAGAUUGUGAGUUUGACUCACAGUAUUGUAGCAAAUUUUUUUUAAAGAACCAAUAUUGUAACACAUUAAUUUUGUAUUUAAUAAAAAAAAUUGCUAGUUCGUAUUUAUAGAAAUAGAAAUAGACUAAUUGUCAAUGUUUUAGGUUGCAAAUCAAGAAAAACAAGAGGAUGGCACGUAAACGUAAUCAUGAUGGCACAAAAUCAGCACAUAAGCUCCUUAUAUAUGGAAUCAUGUGGCACUACAAAUUAAUUAGAAUAGUCAUCGACAAUUCAUUGUAAAAUCGUUUGCCCCUUGCAUUCUUUCCCAAUGCCCAUUAUGUGCCAACAAUAGAAAACUGCCAUGUGGAAUUCCACUAACGCACCACUUAACAGAAGUUUAACUUUGUUUAUCAAAAUUAAAUAAAUUUAGUUUUUUACUGAAAUAAAAAGGUUGUCCUUGAUUGCUCCUUCCCUUCUACUUCUUCAAUCCCUUCGUCUUUAGCAUCUGUGUAGAACUUACAAGCAUCCAAAACUGAAGAAAUGUAAAUAUCUCUCCCCAAUCGCUAUGUCAUGUUCUAAAUAUCUCUGUGUCAUGUUCUAAACAACGGAAUCACAAGUACCUUUUUCUAUUUCACAUGAAACAAUCCCAGAACAGUAGCAUAUUGUACCAGCCCUUUUCUAUUUCACAUGAACAACAACCCAGAAACACCCUUUAUUCAAAAAAAGAAACCCAGAAACCCCUUAACCAAUUCUGGUCAUGCCAAACCCUACGAAACCCAGCAAUCCUAUAUCUAACAACACUCAAAUCACAGAAUUAACCCCUUCAAAAACUUUCAUUCAAAAAACAAACAAUUACAAAUUGCAAACAUGAAGACUGAACCUCUUUUUUGUGAUUACUGGAGCUCGAGAGUCGAAUCGGUCAUUUGGUUUCUCUCUCCAAUCAGACAAAUUACAAAUAUCAAAACCUCAACCCAUUACCAGGAAAUAAAUAAAAGAAAAGAGAUGCAAAUAUAUGGGAGCAAGAAAGAAGAUUGGAGAAAGAAAGGAGGAGAAAGACUGACGAUGAACAAGAGCAGAAGAAGUUGAAAGGAAAAAGGAAAGGUGUGGAGUCUUGUUUUUAUUUUUUUUUCUUUGAGUGAAAAAUCAAAGUUAAUCAAAGUUAACAGAGUGUGACUCUGUUAAGUUGUGUUGAGUGGAAUUUCAUGUGUCAGUUUUCUAUUUGAUGGCACAUAUUGGGCACAUGGAAAAUGGGCACAGGUGAUGUCCUUGCAUUCUUCACCAAACUCAUUAUUUUUAGGCACCACGCACGUAUAUUCUUAAAUAUCCAAUUAUCCAAUGGUGUUGUUCAUCAGUAAUAACUCAAUCGAUUUGGCUAUUUGGUCAUCACUGGUUUAACUAAUAAGGAAGUUAUUAAUUAAAGACAGUACGUUGUACCUUUCUUUGAGAAUCAGGAUUUAAUACCUUAUUGUUGCUCCUCAAUUAACCACAUGAUGGGGUAAUGUUCCAUGUUCAGGUAGGUGGAGGAUGUCUAUAACCAAAAGCGUACCUACACAUGGGUUACGGUGGGUUACAACACACCCUAGAUUUUUAGAAAAUAUUGCUUUGUUACAUAUUUAUAAUUAAAAAAGUUAAAUUAUGAAAACCAGCCCACCAAAAAUUUCUUUAUGUAAUUGAACUUAGUCCAUAUGAUUUUUUUUUAUCUGAUUACAUAUAUAUUGUUUAUUUUAUUAAAAGCAGUUGCUCUUUUAGUAUAUUUUAGGUUAACUUUCUUCUCUUUAUUUCUUUUUCGUUGUCGUUGUAUACGUUUCUAUUCUCUUCUGCCGAAGCAGCUAAGCCAAGUGCUAAGCUUUCUCUCUUUAAUCUGCAGGUAUAAUUCUUAGUUAUAUCGGUCAUCCUCUUGGAGGGUCUUGUACGUGUCAAUGACCUAGUUCUCAAAUCUCAAUUGAUUAAUGCCUUGAUAGUCUCAAUAUCCCAUCAUCCCAUCGCACUGUAUUUCUAUUGAUAUUCUAAUUCUAAUCUCAAUUGCUUGCUUACUAAUUCUAAGCCAAGUGCCAAGUUUUCUCUCUUUAAUUUGCAGGUAUGAUUCUUAGUUAUAUCGGUCAUUCUCUUGGAGUCUUGUACAUGUCAUAUGACAUAGUUCUCAAAUCUCAAUUGAUUAAUGCCUUGAUCAAAUUUAGUCUCAAUAUCGCAUCAUCUCAAAUCUUAAUUGAUUAAUGUCUUGAUAGUCUCAAUAUCCCUACAUCCCAUCGUACUGUAUUUCUAUUGAUAUUUUAAUUCUAAUCUCAAUUGCUUGUUUACUUUAUUGUAGAUAACUAAUGUUAAUAAUGUGUAUAUAUAUAGAUAUAUAGUUGUAAUAGUACCAACGUUUGAUUCAUAGUUAUUAGAUUGUGUUUUUCCGUCCUGUUAGGUUUAAGGAUUAUACACUCGUUUACUGUAUUGUUAGAGCGGUAAUUGUGUGCUUAGUUAUUAGAUUUUGCUUCUAUUUAAGAGCGUAGGGUUCUAUUUAAGUAAGUAUGUUCUUUUAUCUUUAGCUUUUGUCAUCGAAUUUCUAUAAAAUGUUAUAAUAUUGAUUUCUUAAUGAUUAGUUAAUUACGUGAUUAUUUGAUAUGUUUUUAAUCUAAUAUGUGAUAUGUAAAAUAUAGAAGAAAAAAAUUAAAGAACUUGAAGAAAAAAAUUUCAGCCCAUGCCCAACCUAAAAUCCUAGGUCCGCCGUUGUCUGUAACCUCAGACUGAUCAAUUUCACUUCCAUGGCUGACAAAGCUAUUGCUGCUAUAUAUAGAAACCGACGAAGAGACGCGAGAGUAAUUGUAAGGGGUAAUUAUGGAAAUCAAAAUUUUAAAAUGCAAAUGAGAGUGCAAAUUUCCUUUUCCUUAAAUAAUAACGUCAUCACUUACAUGACUUACAUCAUAUCUAAGGUUAAAAACAGUCCUAACUAAACACAAUUCAGUUACUCGUCAUCAAAGAGAACAAGAAAAAAAUACGUGUGUUAUUGGAAAGACAAAUGAAUUUGGCAGAUGGAGAAGCUGGGAAAACAGAUCAAUCUUAAGAAGCAUGAUAUUAAUAUAUCUUUUCUGGGAAUCGUACUUUUCUUCUUUGAGAAAUUUUAAAUACAUAACUUUAAUCUCUUAAUACACACCUUUAUUAUUUUAUAUUUCACAUCAAAUUUUAUAUGUAUGUUUAAUUACAAAAACAUCCAUCAAUUAUUAGGGAACAAAAAAAAAAAAAACUUCUUCUUCCCUAAAACCUAACUCUUCUCCACUAUUACUACACAUCAAAAAAAAAAAAUUCCACUUCUCCAAUACUCAUCACCUGAAUUUCGACUACAUUCGUAAUCACAUGUACUAUUUACUGAUUCAUUUGGUUUUUUUUUUUAUCAAUUUUAGCUUUCAUCUUGCAGACUAAAAACUAAUUUUUAUGCUAGCUAUUGUACGUACUUCUACUAGUUUCUUAACUUUGAAAAAUUAUGUAUGUUCAAUAUUUUUUUUUUCUUCAAAUUCUAGCCGAUUGAUGUCAUAUUAGAGAUUUGGAGUUCGAAUAUAAUAUAACUCUUUUCAUUGUAAAUUGAAAAAAUAUAAAGAAAAAAAAUNNNNNNNNNNNNNNNNNNNNUAAGGCGUUGUAUCGACGUCCUUUGUCUAUUUGAGACCUCGAUGUACUCACAUUAGCAAUAAUGAAUGCCUUGAGAAUUUUUCAAAGUGAAACUAUUCUCCUCUUAUGGUUCAUAUUGAUUUACAAUCAAGAUGUACACUUACAUCGUCCUUAGAAACAUGGCAUAUUGUGCAAAUUUUGGUCCCUUCCUUUGAAGGUGACUCAUGGCACUGCAUCCUCAAGGAGGAUCGCCCACGUGUUUCCGGUUAAGUCUUCUACCCUAUAGCGGAUUGUUCAACUAGGCUCAUCCAAGCUCAGUGUGAUGUCUUUGAAUUGUUCGAAAUUAAGGAGAUAGUGGUUUUAAGUGUGCCUCGCACUACCGACCCUCCACGAACAUGCCUGGUCAUACUGACUUGGAGUUACCGAAAGCUUUUGAUUUUGGAUCCCCCUACACUAUUAAACCAAUUGCCGUCUUGCAAAAGACGUUGAAGACUUAUCAAAGCUCGAAAAUUAUCAUCAUAAUCGGAUCCUCUAGGUCCUCUGAGUUAGUUUAUGUUCAUGUCAGGGAGCUUUUGCUAACUAGUCAUGGAGUUUACGACCUUAGAACGAUCGAAAGGACUUGGUUUUUAUCAUACACACGUCACUUUUGGCUAAGGCAAAAACCUACACGCCACCUGCAAGCUUCACAGCUUCGCACAUGCCAAAUUUGCGAAAAACAGCAAUCUGUCCCUUCUGGACAGUCAACUUCGUUUGAGCUUUGUGAAUAUCUCUGGACGAACCAGACAGUGAGCUUUAUAUCAUUGGAAAGCUCUAUGAGUCUAGUUUUCAGAACUUUUCGCGGUUCGUCCAUAUCUAUUUUAACGAAGAAGUUAUGGCUGUUUUAGUGCGCAAAGGUCAUUCUGCGCGGAAAUUUUUAUGCACUCUCGGAAUUGCAGCUUUUCGUAGCUUCUUUCAAUCCUUCUAAAUGGUUCAAGUAGAACUAUUUACUCGCGUAUCUACUCCUUGUAGUUAUGUCUCAUAGAGACAUUGAGUGCUUCGCAGAUAGUGGAACUAUCCACAACAUUCUAAGGAACCAUGUUGAGCUUUAAAGACAUUCAUGCUAAUGGUUUUCAUUUGAAAACACAUUGUGAGAAUGAACAAGAAUUCUUUUGUGUAUACCUCCUCAUGAAUGCGAACUGAAACGCAUCUUGGAGAAAUUCAUGAGUCAAUCUAGUGAACUGUAUGUCACUACAAUUCGAAUAUCAAAUCCCAUGUUGUCGCCAAACAUGAUAUUUGGGACACCGACUCAUAUAGGCUUUGGUUUGACCAAAUUGAUCAACCUGGAAGAGAUAUAAUGGUCCAAAUUUUGAGAAAUUCUCAUGGACAUCCAUUCUUCCGCUCAAAACGAAGACAUUCGAGAUCUAGCAUCACCAUGAAGCAUGGUGGUGACCCCGGGGACAUUGACGUCACCCGAACACGACUCCAACUUCCUGGAGGUCGUCCGGUCAAUUCCUCAAGCAAUUGAGGUACACCGGUCUUUCCUCGAUGUCGCAUUGGCCCCCUGCAAUGCUCAUUGCUCGUUUUGAAAGCCUAUUUUUUAGCUAAAUAAGGAGUGAGACCCUCUUACGCUAAAUAACACAAAAGUGAACAUUCUAUUCUUACAUCAAACUAUGUAGAUAGAUACAACCAACUUGCGGACACCUUUUUAUGCUUUAUGGUAUUGGUUGAAGUGUUAACACUGGUCACGUGUUACACUAUUAUCUACUGUUUAUGCUGCUUAUACUUCUACGGACUCACUACCCAUUCUUUAAAGAAAUUCAUCGGGAUGUAAGUUGAAGUGUCCUGUACCCCAUGUUCACANNNNNNNNNNNNNNNNNNNNUAUGAAUAGUAAAUAUAUAAUAAUUAUAUUAAAUAAUAGAUUAUUAUUAGUUUUAGAUAUUGAGGGUAUUUUAGACAGUUUGAGAUGUGUAUUUAGUAUAUUAUUGAAAUGAAAAACUAGAUGAGUAGUGUAUUAAGUAAUAUCACGUAUUAAGAGAUUAGGGGUGUGUAUUUAAAAUUACUCUUCUUCUUCUUAUCUGAUUCAGACAUCUAAAAUUCAAAGCGAAUCAAAUUUCAUGCAAUUUCUUUAUUUCGGCCAACCUAUUAAAUAUAAAUAGAAAUAAAUUAUGUAAAAAUAAUAUAAAUUAACAAAGCAAAACAUAUAUUUGAAUAAUAAUAAUAAUAAUAAUGUCAAAAAAAUGCUCCUACAACAUACCUAAACUCAUGAGGCUUUCUUGCGCCUCGGCCACGAAAUAUUUUAUUUUAAUUUUUUUAGUAAAAUGUGGUCAUCCAUUUAUUUAAAACUGAGAAAGAUGACAAACCUGUUGUAAAACGGAAAUGAAAGAGGUUAAGAAAGGAGAGAAACAACCAAAAGAAUGAGGGAAUAUGUGUAUAUUAUUGAGUAGGGAACCAUGUCUUAUAUAGAGAUGUAAUCAGUAUGUAAAUUACAUGAAUAUCCUUAGUAAGCUAAUUACAAGAAUGCACAUUAAAUAAACUAUUUACAACACUCCCCCUUAGGUAUUCUCUGUUAUUAGCUUCCUCUGAUAUGUGCUCCAGUGUUGCCUCGUCAAAACCUUGCUAGGUGAUAAAAACCUUAUGGGACAAAAACAAUCUUUGUCGAAGGAGAAAAGAGUACAACGCACACGUAGCGGUGGUAGUCAGAACCCUUAAUUUCAGUGAAGCGGCUUAGUCUGGAUCAUAAGAUGUGAGUUCGUGGGAGAUGGAUGCAUAAUAGUUGCUACAUCAAAACCUUGCCCGGUAAACCUAGUGGGACAAACCCGUGGUCGAAGGGAAAAGAUGAGCAAAUGCAUAUAUUUCAAAAUAAAGGUAUCUUCAAGAUGUAAUAUGAGUAAGGUGACCAAUUACAUGUGUGCCUCAUUAAAACCUUGCCGGGUAACAAAACCCAAUGGGACAAAAUAACCCUGGACGAAGGACAAAAGAGUACACAAUGGUUAAGAGUACGCUUUAGAAUACUCCCCCUGAAAACUCUAAGAUUAUUGUAUUCCCUAUAGUAAAGACAUAACUAGUUGGGAAUAAGUCUUGUUUCGGUUUACAUAACCCAUGUCAACAUUUUUAACAAGGCAAACAUCAUUCCAAGGAUCAUAGGCGGUUGAUCCAUUCCAUGAUGCCUAGGGAUAGAAUGAGCCAUUUUUCAUCAUACAUUUAAAGUAACGGAAAAUUGUCUUUUAUGCCAUUAAUGGAGGCAGCGUGUUGGCGCAGAGCUAUAUCGAACUAACAAAUACACAUUGGAUGAGAUAUUCGCGGUUUGUGGCAUUUAGCCAAGUACAAUAAUGCGCCUAUUGUACUUAGAUAUGAGUCUUCUGGCCCCAAUAUCUCUUCAUUAUAAUUUGCACGACAAUACAAGUGUCUUUAGACCUCGAACGACUAUGGGUGUGCUUAAAUACUUUGUUUUAUGCUCAUAAAAGUAUCUUAACAUCUUCUAGAUAUAAUUUGAUUGAUGGACCAAAAUUCCAUCUGCACUUUGCACGACUUCAGGUCGACAAAAUAAUAUUUGGUCUCUCAAAGUCAUUUAUCUCAAACUCUGAUUUCAGGUGUUUUGUAGUUUCCUUAAUCUCUUCAAGAGUAUCAAUCAAAUUCAUGUCAUUGACAUAAAUUACCACAAAUUACAAACCCAGAAUUUGUUUCCUUAAAACACGCAUGGGCAUAGUCCAUUUGUUCAUAUAUCCCACUCCAAACAAAUAUUCACUUAGACGGUUAUACCAACUCCGUCUGGAUUGUUUCAAUCCAUAAAGUGAACUACUCUGACAAAAGGAGAGCAUGUUCUGUAGUCUAGAACUAUUUGCAUCGGUUGUCAUAAAUCCUUUAGGAACUUGCAAGUAUAUGUCUGUAUUCAAAUCCCCAUAGAGAUAAGUUGUUACCACAUUUACAAGCUGUUAUUCAGUUUUUUCAGAAACUACCAAACUGAUAAGGUAGUAGAACAUUAUGACGUUCACAAGGCCGGCCCUGAGCAUAGGCCCAGCUGGCACAGGCCUAGAGCCCCAACAUCUUAUGGGACCCCUUAAAAAAAACCCUAUUAUAUAUGAAAGAAAAAGAGAGUAGUAAAUAACCAAUUUUUACAUUAAUUCUUAUGUAGUAAUUAACAUUUGUGGCUUUAAUUCUUUUUCUAUUUUUUGAGGAAACAUCUUUAGCCUAAGCGCACGAAACUUCUUCUUUUCUUCAUUUUUAGGCUUAAUCCCAAAUUUUCGGCUAUAAAAUCUCAAACCCAACAAGUAUUUACAUAAAUCAUAUAAUCAAUUAAUCACUGUUGAUUAUCUUCACCAUCAGCAAUUAUUAUCUUAUUGUUCUAGGAUAUUCUCUACGUGUGCUUUGGCCUUAUGCCAAUAGGAUAUGUAGUUAGACUAGAUUUAUGUAUUCAUAUCCUUACCAUAUUGGUAUUGUGUAAUUCCCUAUAUAAAAGGCUCCUAUCAAUGAAUAAGAUGAUGAUUCUCUUGUUAUCUCUUUGUCUCUACACUUUAUCCUUCAUCACGUUAUCAUGCACUUUGUUCUAACCCUAGAGCCAAAAGCCCACCAUUUUUUUUCUAAACCCUAAAAACCAAAACCCUAAAAUAGGGCAGCCUUAUUUUUCCCGAUUUCCGACCAAAAUUCCGACUGUCCUCCACCGGAAUUUUAUAUCCCCAGAAAGCUCUCUCCGUCCCAGAUCCAACGCCGCCGGUCUCACCCUGAGAACCGGCCGGAAAGUCUCUGAACCGGCCGCCGGAAGAUUCCAGACNNNNNNNNNNNNNNNNNNNNCAAAUUAUUUCAAUUAUUUAGAUCUAAUUAUACUGUAUGUAGUUUGAGCAUACUAACGUUUUUUUUUAUAAUAAAAAUAAGUCUAUUGAAAGAUAGGGAGCCCUAUUUUGUCUGUCGCCUAGAGCCCCGAAAAACUCAGGGCCGGCCCUGGACGUCCAUUACGGGAAAGUACGUCUCCUUGUAAUAAAUCACAGGGCGUUAAGAAAAUCCUUGCGUCACUAAACGAGACUUAUAUCACAAUCUCGUUUUUCUCAUUAUGUUUCCUUACAAAUACUCAUCUAAACAAUACAGGUUUAACAUGGGGAUGUGUGCGAACAGUAGACCUAUAACACCUUUCUCUUAGUUAAGGAAUCUGAUUUAAUCUGGAUUGUUUCUUUCCUUUUUAGUCAGUCGUCUCUUCGUUGAGAUCUAUCAACGAACCAAGGUUCGACAUCAUCGCUUAUUAUAAUUUCGGUGGCCACCGCAAGUACAAACAUAUUAUCGAUGAACUCUCAUUCCGAUUCAAUAUCUCACUAAAUUUACUGAGAUUUUCUAUUCUCGAGAGUGGGUUUAAAUGUUGGAGCGUCCCCCAACUUCGUCUCUUCUAGGACGAACCAUAAUCCAGAUUAAUCUCGUAAGUUGAAUUGGUUUGAGAUUGCGAUGACAAGAAUAUUCAUUUGUGCUAAGUUUACCCUCUUCUAGGGAUAAGAAUCGUUUGAACCUAAUGGUCUACCUUGCUUCUAGGCAGGGACAUAUGACUAGUUAGUCACCAUGGCCGUACAUCGUUCAACGAGGACGAUACGUCCUAUGGGGACCUUUAUCCUUGCAGGUUUGCAGCAGGUAUAUAUGAUCUCGUUACUUUAACUAGAUCUAAUGAAGUGUCUGGCAUAUUAUGGGCUACACUAUGUAGAUGUAGAAUUCUUUGCACUUUAACUAGAAGUAGAAUUCUUCACACUUCAAUAUCACAUGUGAGGUUUGGGGAUCAAGAUGAGACAUUCUACACGUCGUUCAUCAGGAACGGUGACGUUCUUAUCUCCCCCUAACGGCGAGAAGACAAUCUCAUCAAAGUGACAACCGUAAAUCUAGCGGUAUAGAGAUCUCCUGUCAAGGGCUCUAAGGAGCACAUAAUGGAUAGGGUUCAUAAUCGACAUAUAUGCCCAUCCUUUGUUGAGGACCCGAUUUUGUACGUUGUGGUGGCACAAUUGGCACGGGAACUACACACCCAAAUCUGUGUAAGUACAAAACACCAUGUUCGCACCCAGUCACCAACUGUAACACAAAGUAAGGUGGGUAGCAAUGGGCCUUAAUCAGACCGACAUGGCUGUAUGCAAGAUUGCAUAGCCCGAUGCAAACACUAGAAGCUUGGUGUGCAUUACCAAGGUUCUACCUGCGAGACCAUCUUGGGUGUGAACAUUAUAUGUUCAACAUAUCCCAAGGGAUAUGCAAUAAUUAUCGAAAACUUUCAAUGUAAACUCUCCGGCAUUAUCAAGUCUUAUAGACUUUAUGGGAUAAUCUGAGUGGUGUACCCUCUAUUUCAUGAGUUGGGGGAGAGUUUAGCAAAAUCAGCAUUUUCUAAUGGAUAGUAAAGUGAUUUCUGAUCAUUUUUUUCGAUGCAUCAACCACUACCUAUAAUAUUUAAUUGGUUCGUUAGGUAGUUGGACAUGUCCACAAAUGUUGCAUUCUAUGUAGAAAUAGAUAGUAUAUACUAGUCUUUACAUAUGAUGGUCUAGUAUUCAACAUUUUUAACGAGCAGCUUAACAUAAUGUGUCAUUAAAGACAAGACCCUUAUUCCAAGGGGGAUGCCCGAGUGAUAAUGGAGUUGAGGAUACGGUGCAUCGUAUGUUUGUCCCAAGUGCAUCAAACACCAAUACUAUAGCUAGUAUUUGCUCGAAUCUAGGGGUGGGCAUGGGACGGGAUUGAGGUCAUCCCACGUCCCGUCCCGGUUGUUACACAUGUGACGGGAUCGGGACGGGCCUUACAUUUUUCAGACUCGAUCCCGCCGGGCCUAAUCCCGGAUGGGACGGGACGGGAUCGGGAUGGGACGGGCCCAAUCCUGGCCAUCCUGCAUCAGUUUCUUUUCUUCUAGAAAUCGUACAGUUACAUUUGAAAUUUCAUCUAGGUGUCUUCAUAAGUUUUGUAGUAGACAUCUUAAUGUCCAUUCUAAAAUUUGAAUCACUUAAAAAUGAUUUUCUCGAUUAAGUUAUGAUUUUUUUAAGUUUAGGGUCUGCAUCUAUAAAUUCUGCAUGUCAAUUCUGUGAUUCUGAACCAGUUGGCUUCUUUUCAAAAACUGUACAAAUUGGUUGGUUAUGUGAGUUUAGUGUUCUCAUGAAAGUUACAGAAGACAUCCUAAAGAUUAUUUGAGAGUUGGAAUCUCUCAAAAAUAAGUUUUCUACAAUUAGUUAUGAAUUUUGAAAGUUAGAAGGGACGAGCCCAAUCCCAGCCAUCCUGCAUCAGUUUCGUUUCUUCUAGAAAUCAUUUGUAGUAGACAUCUUAAGGUUCAUUCCAGAAUUUGAAUCACGUGAAAACUAUUUUUCUAGAUUAAGUUAUGGUUUCUUAAAGUUUAGGGUCUAUAUCAGUAAAUUUUGAGAUUUGAACCAGUUGGCUUCUUUUCGAAAACUGUACAAAUUGGUUCGUUAUAUGAGUUUAGUGUCUUCAUGAAAGUUAUAGAUGACAUCUUAAAAAUCAUUUGAGAGUUGGGAUCUCUUAAAAAUAAUUUUUCUACAAUUAGUUAUGAAUUUUAAAACUUAGACGGGAUGGGACGGGCCUGACGGGACUCAAAAUUUUAAUCCCGCGUCCCGUCCCAUUGUUUUUCUAAUGGGACGGGACGGGACGGGACUGGGAUUUACGGGAUUUGUGCCCGGCCCUACUCGAAUCAUUUAGCUUCUAGCUAAUAAAUUUUAAUAUCUUCAAUGUACGCUUUGGCCGCACAUUUGAAGGUUAUGCAAAGAUAUUACACAAUUUUUCUGAUGGUUUCAACGUUUUAAGAUUGGUUUCAAUGAACUUACCUUUCGAUAAUGUUCUUCUGAAAGGUAGAGGUAUUUUGCCUCGUCAGCCAGACGAGAAUGCUCAGUUCCUUAAUAUUGAUAAUACAUAUCAAUUUUGAUUUUGAUUCUAGGGCAUCAAGCCUUUUUAUUUCAAUAUUCUCUAAUUAUGAUUUGCUUCAGGCAAGGAAGAUGUCUACUCCAAAUAGUUUCUUCUAGAGACUACCAAUUAACAUGAUAAAAGCUACCGAUUUUAUCAUGUCUGGUGAAUUUUGGAAUGAAACUUCAAGUUUCUUAAGGGGGUUAUUAUCGAAACUACAAGUUCGAUUUAUACAUGAACUACUGAUUCAUUUCUGAACUACCGGUUCAUUAGGUACAUGUAUUUUCAAAUUAUAAUAAUGUAACAAUUGAUGAUAUUAAUUCCACGCUAUUAAUUUAGCAUAGUGAAUAUAUCAUGUAAUUAUGUGUAAAUGCUUUUGGCAAUUAACUACACAUUAAAUAUGGUGAAUAUAUUAACAAAAACUACUAUGAGAAAGUAUUUGGAGUGGCUUAUAGACAUACAUAAUGACUAGAUAUGAAAAACCAGUGUCAUUAGAUUAUUUUCUUUUUGUUUGAUUAUGCUGGACCAAAAGAAUUGACUUUAAUUAAAAUGAAAGAAAUAAACCUUUGUAUACUUUACAAGCUUAUGGGGCACAAUCUUAAAGGUAUGCUGGCCGGGCUUCUAGGUCCCGUAGAGGGAGAGUGGGCUUACUGGGCUCAGAAUAGUCUGCUAAGAAAUGCAAUGUUAUUAGUCAACCCUUUUGGUAAAUCCAAUUGUAUACGACCAGGUAAGCAAUGAUGAGGUGAUGGAGUGAGGCUCACUUAAGUACACAUCCUUAAAAGAACUUGCUUAGACAUCGCAUCUAACUGGGUGAGCCUAGUUUGAGAACAGUUAUAAUCAUUGUCAUGGAAUCAAGGCGACACAUGACGAGUUUCUGUGCUAGCCUUGCAGCUUGCGUCGAACUUCUGGCUCAAUUUCAUAUAUAUUUAGGCUUGAUUUAAGCUUCUGACUUAACAUCAUUAAUAUUCACCAAUAUAACAUAAACCAAUGCAAUAUAUGCUAUUAAAUCAUAACAGACAAACUUAAUGUGAAAGUAAUUAUAUGAAACCGAAAUAAAUUAAGUUAUAACAGAAACAAUUUAAUUCUCGUUGACAUAAUGUAUAUGCAAUAAAAUUGGCAUUUAUUGAACCAAGAAAUGUCAGUAGUUACUUGCAAAACUAACUCAUUUGCAUCGCUUCUGGCAUUAAUGUGUCAUUACAUACUCAUAAUAAUUAUCGAUAUAAACAAUAACAUAAUUGAGAAUUAAUUGAAUAAAACUGACGCGAUUUGAUUUUAGUAACCGACAUUAAAUAUAUAGCAUAAAUUACUAAAUAAAUAUCAUUUAUGUAGCGGUGAAGUACCAAAUACAAUGAGUUUUAAAAUCUCAUUAAUGCUUCUAGCAUUACCAUAAGUAUUAAAUUAGAUAAAUGCUUCUGGCAUAAUGUUUAUGUAACAAUCGCGUAAUUAAAACCCAAAAUUCAUGCUUCUAGCAUAAUGGAUUAUAAUGACAUUAUUCAAAUUGGUGUAACCAUAACGUUUCUAUCAUAAAUUGUGCAAUAAUUUGGGCCAUAAUACUUGUACCAUAAUAUAUGGGUUAUAACUUGGUAAAUGCUUCUGGCAUUAAUUACAUACCCUUAAAUGACAUUGAAUUUGACACAAUUCAAAUCAGUAAUUGACAAAACGUAUAUGUUAAUUUAUCCGUAAAUAACAUAAUCAGUGCUAUGCGUCAUUAUUCAAAUGACGAUAUUUAAACGGAUUUUAUUCAAACCCCAUUAAGAGUAAUAUUAAUUCAUUUGUAUUACUAAAAGCUUCAGGCAUAAAUAUUUCAUAUAUGUAACGUCUAGCAUAAACGAUCAAAUUAAUGGUUAUGGGCGUUACUAUUUGGAACGCAUGCAUAUACUUGAAUUUGACGGUGAUCUUGAAUUUGAUACAUGUACUUGUUGAUCCAUGCACCUUUUGGUUUGCACUACUAGGUAGGUGGCGGUGGCUAAUUACGAAGGCUACUGGCCGUUCAAUGAUUUUCAAUGCCGAUUUUUUUUCCAAAAUCGAAACAUGAACAUAGAUAGAUCAAUAAUUUCAAUUUUUGGCGGCUCAUACAUCAAAUGAAAUUUUCUAUAUGCUACACAAAUUAAUAAGCAAACAUAUACAAAUUUCGAAAUGCCAGUAUUGAAAGACCGUUCAAGCAUAUAUGUACAUAUAUAUACAAAUAUGGUUCAUGCUUCAUGGUGAUUUGUUCAUCAUAUAAUCAAGGCUAGCAAAUAUGAAUUGGAAUUAAGAUAAGAAAACGUUACUCAUUGAAAAACGGAUAAUCUCCAUCUUUUAUGUGUAGAACUAAGAAGGCCAUUUGUGGAGCUUCUCAGCCAAUCCAAGAACUUGGUUUAAUGAUGAUCCUCAUAUGGUUGAUCAUUAAUCUCAGAGCUUUCCACGUCAACGUAGAGCGAAUCGAUAAAUCAAAUUGAAAGAUCAUCCUUUGCUUCUAGAGCUUCACAUGUAAUAAAAAACAAAAUAAUGUUAACACUAUUCGUGCUGAUAACGUAUUGUAAAACGAAAAUGAAAGAGAUUAAGAAAGGAGAGAAAUAACUAAGAGAAUGAGGGAAUAUGUGUAUAUUAUUGAAUAGGGAACCAUCUCUUAUAUAGAGAUGGAAUCAGAAUAUAAAUUACAUGAAUAUCCCUAAUAAGCUAAUUACAAAAAUGCUCAUUAAAUAAACUAUUUACAACCGAACCAACAUAUAUAGUUCUUUUUUUUUUUUUUUUUAAGGUCUCAGAUAUAUUGGGUAUGAGAAAUUUUUCAUUCACAGAGAAUCAGAGUGGUGCAUGACUUCCUCAGAGAAUCAUCAUAGCCUCAAUUAACUUAUAAACCUAAAUACGAGAUAUAUAGUUAAUUAGUUGUAACUGCAGUUUGUAAAAAGCUAGGUACAUAAUAGAAAAAAGUCCUGCCUCAGAGACUUGCUAGGAGAUGAGCAACCAGGUUAGCACACCCCUCUUCGUGUGGUAAAUUUUCACAUUUGGAUAUGAGAUUAACACCUCCCCAAUAUCAUCAUAUAGCUAGCCUUCCCAACAAAGAAGUAUUUGAACUAGCUUGAGCAGAAAUUUGUCGUUGCACCAGAGAUGAGUCUGUCUCAAUAACAAAAGCCAUCAUAUUGUGUUCCAAAGCAAAACCCACAGUAACUUGACAUGCCAAUGCUUCAGCAUGUUCAGCUGAAAGCAAAUUUUGAAGUCUAGCCCCUCCAGCAAUCCUACUUACCUAGUCUCCCCGGCCCCUCUAUUUUAUUCUCCAUCUAUAUUAAUUUUAAGAACACCAACUAGGGGAGGAACCCACUGCACUAUUCUUUGCGAGCUUGUACUCCCAACUCUUCCAUUAUGGACCCAAAAUUCUGCUAGCCACGCACUACCACGAAGAACAACAUCACAAGCCGGAGAUGACUUCUAUUCCCAAAACGGGCAAUCAAUGAUGUAGGGCUAGUAAGGAUUCGCCAAGCCUGUUUUGCCAACAUCGCUGAAUUAAACUCUGUUUAAACUGCGAAAUCCCCCUUCCUCCUUUGGGUUACACAAAGCAUCUCAAGACUAUCUAGAGUACUGCUCCACAAAAAUCUUGCACACAUCUGCUCCAGGUUUUCACAAAAACCUUGAGUGAGUUUAAACACACUCAUUGCAUAUGUUGGUAAAGCUUGAGCCAUCACCCUGACUAAGAUAUCUUUUCCAGCUCCACUCAAAAAUUUACCUUGCCAAUUCUCCAACUUUUUGGCCAAGUUAUCUUUAUUAUACAGAAAAGUUGCUGUCUUUUUCCGGCCUACAUAAGUUGGCAAGCCCAAGUAUUUUUCAUGUGCCUCAACAACCCCGACUCCCAAUAAGUUCGAAUGUCCUCCUGUAUUGACUCUGUAACAUUCUUACUAAACACAGCAGAACUUUUAUUGAAAUUUACCACUGACCUGAUGUUCUCCCAUGUAUUUCAAGCACAUCCUGUAUCUAAUGACAAGCCUCCAAACUCGCAUUUGCAUAUUACAUACUAUCGUCAGUGAAGAGUAAAUGAUUCACUGUCGGGGCAUCACAACAAAUCUAAAUGCCAGUAAGUAGACUUGCCCUAAUUUGUUUCUGUUGUAAUAAAGCUGAAGCCGAUCCUGAGUACUCAUGUAUUUACUGCUAUAUAUAUAUAUAUAUAUAUAUAUAUAUAUAUAUAUAUAUAUAUANAAAUUGAAAGUUCUAGAGUGUGGACUCAUAAAUUGAAACAAUGGAAUCCACAAAAUUCCAUUUUUACCACAACAUAAGUAUAAAUGUCAUAAAGAUUUUGCGCCACAUAACUUUGUCAUAUGUGUAGCGAAAACUCGCCGUCCAUCUGUCAGUUUAAGCAAAUUGUUUUUCCUGAUGUCUUCGGCAACAUCUUGUAGAUGAGCUCCACUCUGAAUUGCAUAUUGUUCCAAGUUAAGAUUGCUGAUCAACCGGUUGGCUGUUUCUGGUGGCACCAUAGCUUGAUUAACUUGAUGAUCUUCUGUUUCUGUUAACAACCAUAUUUGAUAUGGUUGGAAGAACUUUUCUCUUUCUCUCCAUCCAAUAGUACUUGCAAUGCUGAAUGUGAGAUAUUUGGAGAGUCUGUAACUUUUUGCUACAUGAUACACCAUUGUUUUAAUGAAUUGAGGAAAAUCUUUUAUGGUAGCAUAAUCUAAACUUUGGAAAAUAACCUGGUUAGUUAUUCCCCAUUCAAUAGCUGCAAGAUUCCAUUCAUCAUGGUUUAUGAUGAAACUCAGUUUAGGGAUUCCAUCAUCCUUAACAUUCAUAAAUUCUGAAUGUUCUAGAAACAUGUCUUGAAUUACUUGACCAUGAUUAUGGAUUUUAACAUAAAUACCUGUAAAGAGAUGAUAUGGAAGAUGAUUUUUUGAUUUUUCAAAAAGACAAAUUCUCUUAAUUUGUUCAAAAGUUGGAUCAGAUAUGUCCUCUAAUAGUUCUGAUAGCUGGAGAAAACUGGUUAUCUUCUCUAGCGUGAAAUCUUCACUCCAAUUUAUUUGCUUAAGAACUUGAAGACUUACAUGUUUAAAUUUGUAAGUUUUAACUUUCUCAGCAUCUAGCUGUGCUGCUAGAUUUGAGAUCUGAGUAAACAGCUGGGUUAGCUGUACUCGGAAUUCUUUCUUUAUUCUAGCAAUAUGGCUUUUCCAUACUGUAUCUAUGGUGUUAUAAACAUCUCUAGGGAGUCCUGGAUUGUAGAAGUCUCUAAUCUCAGAUGAUUGAGAUAAGUUGUCUUGUGUUUGCUGCACUUGACAUCUUACUUUUGUUGCAAUGUAUUUUUGAUAUUCUAAUGCUGCAAUAUCAACAUUAGGAAAUCCUUGCCAGAAUGCUCCACGAUACCUGCUAAUAGAAGCAGCACAUUCUGCCCAGUUAUGGAAGAUUCCUGUUUUGAAACCUUCAAAUACCACAUAGCAUUUAUUAGCUGGUUUAGCUCUAUUAUGAAAAUAAGGCUGGUUUGGCCUCUGAGAUGAAUUUUGUACUGGCGCUUUUUUUAGCGACAGUGAUAUAUAUAUAUAUAUAUAUAUAUACAUAUAUAUAUAUAUAGGACCCUUCCAAUGAGGGAUCCAUAUUUUUGUUCAUUUUUAGGGAUAGAUCAUUUGACGAAUUUUUCGAUCACAAAAUCAAAUCUCCACCAUUCAGUUCGUUGGGCUAUAUGAGUAUAUCAUUUCUACAAAUUUUCAGAAAAUUUGGUGAUCGUUAAAUCAUCCAAAUGAGGGAUUUAUUUUUAAUAAUCUUGAACGGUGUAGGUUUGACAUAAGUGUUAAGUUUUU
rnacentral:lncRNA from 1 species